CGCAGUCUAUGCACUAGCAGCAGUCGGUUGGUUAGGGAAGACGGCGGAAGGUUAUGGCGCGUCGCGGCGCAUUUCAACUCGCAUCCUCGUCGACCCGUAGGAGUUUUUGACGCGAGCGAUUGUUUCGAAAGUGUCGUGAAGCAGUGAAGUGUCGGGCAUUCGUGCCGGCAUCGCCAUUGGAAUCCCCGGCCAGGAUCUGAUUACAGCGAUAACGAAACAUUCGUACUUAGAUUCUUGUGAAGUCUGAUACUCAGGGCCUGAAAGAGGAAGAAGUGCCGGCGUCCGUCGUGUCGGAUGCAUGGUGCGAAGUCGUGUCGCGUUCAAUCGUGUUUCGCAUUUUCUCCGUUGUCUGGUAUCCUGAAUUUCCGACGCACGUGAAGGGUUUUGAGAGUUCCGAGAUCGAAAGAUCGCGCGUUCGUGCCAAGUUUGAAUCGAGACAAAUCAUAUAUUGUGAGGAGGAUCUUUGACGGACUCAAACAUUCGAGAGCUGCGGCCAAGACCAUCGAUGGAGGGCAAGCACGCUAGGCAAGUUAUAAACGUAACUGAGUAUGCAAUGGCAUUGCAAAGAUUGAAAGAAGCUUUGGAAAAGGAUAAAGUAGUUAUCAAACUUUCUUCAAUGGGAUACAAAUCUUCCGUGUUUUAUUAUGGAUUCUAGUGAACCAAUUAAAGCAUUUAAAUUUUAUAGAAGCAGAGUUAAAAGAAUUGCAAUUGUCACAAGAAGAGUGCGACUUGAAGAAUUAGUUGCAAAACUGGAAGAGACUUUGGCUUAAAAAGAUGAUGCGGAUCUUGAAGAAAUAACAAAAUAAACGAACGAACUUGAACAAGCGAGCUUGAAAUUGUUUGAAAUGGUGUAUAAAAGGAUGGCAGCAGAAAAAAAAGUCAAAAUCAAUCACAGCAAGAACCUGAGGGUGAAAGGAAGGAGGAGACAAAUUAAUUCUAUUUAGAUAACUCACGUUCUAUGAAGAAGAUAAACAAAUUCACAUUUGCAUACAUUUGUAUUAGCAUCUGUUGCUGUUCCAUAAGCUCAAAGAAACCAUUUAUUUUAGAAAAAAGAAAUUAAAUUUCGAUAUUUUGUGCGAUAGUAACAGAUUAAAAAUAAAGUAUUUAAACAUGAAAAAAGCUG